rnacentral:rRNA from 1 species
GACGAACGCUGGCGGCGUGCUUAACACAUGCAAGUCGAACGAUGAACUUGGAGCUUGCUCUGGGGGAUUAGUGGCGAACGGGUGAGUAACACGUGAGUAACCUGCCCUGGACUCUGGGAUAACUUCGAGAAAUCGGAGCUAAUACCGGAUAGGACCUUGCACCGCAUGGUGUGGGGUGGAAAGUUUUUCGGUUUGGGAUGGACUCGCGGCCUAUCAGCUUGUUGGUGAGGUAAUGGCUCACCAAGGCGUCGACGGGUAGCCGGCCUGAGAGGGUGACCGGCCACACUGGGACUGAGACACGGCCAAAACUCCUACGGGAGGCAGCAGUGGGGAAUCUUGCGCAAUGGGCGAAAGCCUGACGCAGCCAUGCCGCGUGGAUGAUGAAGGUCUUAGGAUUGUAAAAUCCUUUCACCGGUGAAGAAGCCUCUUGGGGUGACGGUACUGGGAGAAAAAGGACCGGCUAACUACGUGCCAGCCGCCGCCGUAAUAC